GUCCCAUGGCCUGUUGAACAAAAUGUGCCCAUCCCUGUGCCGUGCUCAGUCAUGCCUGAUCUUUGCUGCCCAGUGAACUGUCGCCCGCCAGGCUCCUCUGUCCAUGGGGUUUCCCAGGCAAGGAUACUGGAGUGGGCUGCCAUUUCCUUCUCCAGGGAUCUUCCCGACCCAGGGAUCGAACCCACAUCUCUUGUGUCUCCUACCCUGGCAGACCCAUCUACCCCUCAUGCCGCCUGAAAGUGAAAAUUGAAAGUCAUGUCCGACUCUUUGCAGCCCCAGGGACUAUACAGUCCACGGAAUUCUCCAGGCCAGAAUCCUGGAGCGGAUAGCCUUUCCCUUCUCCAGGGAUCUUCCCAACCCAGGGAUCGAACCUAAAAGUGAGUCAUGUCUGACUCUUUGCGACCCCAGGGGCUAUACAGUCCACGGAAUUCUCCAGGCCAGAAUCCUGGAGCGGGUAGCCUUUCCCUUCUCCAAGGGAUCUUCCCGACCCAGGAAUCGAACCCAGGUCUCUCGCAUUGCAGGCGGAUUCUUUACCAGCUGAGCCACAGGGAAGUCCCCAAAUGGGACGAUGAGCCCCAGCUUUAAUGCUGUUGUUCCAGGCAUCAGCCACGAGGUGGCAGCACUUCCUCACACCCACUCGGGGAACUGGGCAACCCGAGCCUUAGUACCAGGCGUGUUCCUGUGCUGUAAACUACGGCGCCGCGCCAGAGCAAACACCCAGGGCCUCGAGUGUCAUCACUUCUUGCCCCUUACUCUUCACUCUCAGUCAUAUCUGAACCCCCCACCCAGUGCUGCUCUGAGGCAGCUGCCCCGGUAGCUGUCGGAGGGACCCUAGGGAAGGAGGCUGGAAAUGGAAGCCCUGCCACCGGCAGACGAGGAGACAGGAUGGCUGCUGAAACAUCUUCCAGCGCAGAGCAUCGAGCACUUUCUGAGCGAAAGGCCUGCUGUGGAUCCGGGAGGCUCAUUUACUGGCACCGCAGCCCCUCAAGCUGACUGAAGCCCAGCUUGGGGAAGCAAGCCUGCCCAGGCCCCAGGGCACUGAGUCCAGCCCUGGGCAUCAAAACCAAGGGGAGCAGCCAUUUGUUUUCGGCUUUAUUCUUUCAUGUAACUUUU
ensembl:lncRNA